AACGAACGCUGGCGGCAUGCCUAACACAUGCAAGUCGAACGAGACCUUCGGGUCUAGUGGCGCACGGGUGCGUAACGCGUGGGAACCUGCCCUUAGGUUCGGAAUAACUCCCCGAAAGGGGUGCUAAUACCGGAGAAUGUCUUCGGACCAAAGAUUUAUCGCCGUUGGAUGGGCGCGCGUUGGUUUAGCUAGUUGGUAGGGUAAAAGCCUACCAAGGCGACGAUCCAUAGCUGGUCUGAGAGGAUGAUCAGCCACACUGGGACUGCGACACGGCCCAGUCUCCUACGGGAGGCAGCAGUGGGGAAUAUUGGACGAUGGGCGAAAGCCUGAUCCAGCAACGCCGGGUAAGUGAUGAAGGCCUUAGGGUUGUAAAGCUCUUUUACCCGGGAUGAUAAUGACAGUACCGGGAGAAUAAGCUCCGGCUAACUCCGUG
rnacentral:rRNA from 1 species